AGAGCGAACGCUGGCGGCAGGCUUAACACAUGCAAGUCGAGCGCCCCGCAAGGGGAGCGGCAGACGGGAGAGUAACACGUGGGAACGUACCUUUCGGUUCGGAACAACCCAGGGAAACUUGGGCUAAUACCGGAUACGCCCGUAAGGGGAAAGAUUUAUCGCCGAAAGAUCGGCCCGCGUCUGAUUAGCUAGUUGGUGAGGUAACGGCUCACCAAGGCGACGAUCAGUAGCUGGUCUGAGAGGAUGAUCAGCCACACUGGGACUGAGACACGGCCCAGACUCCUACGGGAGGCAGCAGUGGGGAAUAUUGGACAAUGGGCGCAAGCCUGAUCCAGCAAUGCCGCGUGAGUGAUGAAGGCCUUAGGGUUGUAAAGCUCUUUCGGCGGGGACGAUGAUGACGGUACCCGCAGAAGAAGCCCCGGCUAACUUCGUGCCAGCAGCCGC
rnacentral:rRNA from 1 species